GAUGAACGCUGGCGGCGUGCCUAAUACUUGCAAGUCGAGCGAAUGGAUUAAGAGCUUGCUCUUAUGAAGUUAGCGGCGGACGGGUGAGUAACACGUGGGUAACCUGCCCAUAAGACUGGGAUAACUCCGGGAAACCGGGGCUAAUACCGGAUAACAUUUUGAACCGCAUGGUUCGAAAUUGAAAGGCGGCUUCGGCUGUCACUUAUGGAUGGACCCGCGUCGCAUUAGCUAGUUGGUGAGGUAACGGCUCACCAAGGCAACGAUGCGUAGCCGACCUGAGAGGGUGAUCGGCCACACUGGGACUGAGACACGGCCCAGACUCCUACGGGAGGCAGCAGUAGGGAAUCUUCCGCAAUGGACGAAGGUCUGACGGAGCAACGCCGCGUGAGUGAUGAAGGCUUUCGGGUCGUAAAACUCUGUUGUUAGGGAAGAACAAGUGCUAGUUGAAUAAGCUGACACCUUGACGGUACCUAACCAGAAAGCCACGGCUAACUACGUGCCAGCAGCCGCAGUAA
rnacentral:rRNA from 1 species